rnacentral:tRNA from 1 species
GUGGAUGUAGUCUAACGGUAUGAUUCGCGACUGUGGCUCGCGCGAAGAGGGUUCGACUCCCUCCUUCCACC